rnacentral:tRNA from 1 species
AGGAUUAUAGUUACUCAUAACGCCCGAUUUGCAUUCGGGAGGUGUUGAAAUUAUUUCAACUUAUCUUG